rnacentral:rRNA from 1 species
UACGAAGGGGGCUAGCGUUGCUCGGAAUCACUGGGCGUAAAGCGCACGUAGGCGGUUCGUUAUGUCGGAUGUGAAAGCCCUUGGCUUAACCAAGGAAGUGCAUCCGAAACUGGCGAGCUAGAGUACGAAAGAGGAUCGCGGAAUUCCCGGUGUAGAGGUGAAAUUCGUAGAUAUCGGGAGGAACACCGGUGGCGAAGGCGGCGAUCUGGGUCGAUACUGACGCUGAGGUGCGAAAGCGUGGGGAGCAAACAGG